rnacentral:rRNA from 1 species
GACAGAGGCCCCAAGCGUUAGGCGGAAUCACUGGGCUUAAAGCGUGUGUAGGCGGAUCGUUAAGUGUCUUGUGAAAUCCCACGGCUCACCCGUGGAACGGCUGGGCAUACUGGCGAUCUUGGGCCAACUAGGGGCAGUCGGAACAAGCGGUGGAGCGGUGAAAUGCGUAGAUAUCGCUUGGAACGCCGAAGGUGAAAACAGACUGCUGGGGUUGCGCCGACGCUGAGACACGAAAGCCAGGGGAGCAAACGGGG